UCUAAGCCGAGUUGUGAUGACCUGGCUUUAAUUCAACUGAAUUUCAAUUGUAAUGCCAAUGCCCCGUAGUGCUUACGAACCAGUAUUUGAAGGCAAGACAAGACCUGGCCACUUAUCACGAUAUGAACGCUGCAGGCGGUCCCGCGUGGUUUCACUCCACACACUCGCUACUUACGACGCGCUCGCCAUCGACUGGUUCCCACCGAGAUGUCGGCGUCGGCUCGUCUGAGGAGAAACCGCGCCCAGCGCCGAACCAACUGCAGGAUUCUGCGCCGCUGCUCCCACUGGAACAAGUCGCAGCUGCAACUUCAGGCGGUGUCAUGGCGGUGACCAGCGACGCGACGCUCGUGAGCUUGUCAUCUUCCCGUGGCAGUGACGACGGUGGUACGAUUGUGUCUCCAAAGGGCGCUGCGGCGGCGCUCUCCCGCUCUCUACUUCUUGCUUGCUGCAAAAAGGCGGCGAUCACGGUCGGGUCUGUGUUACUGGUGUGUGCCGUCGCCGCAGCUAUCAUCGCACUGGUGCAGCUGCUGGCCUUAACCGACGUCAUGGGCGAGGACCCUUCGUUCGAUCCGUCGCUGCCCCUCGUCCGGGGCUCCUUUCCCGAGGGCCCGGUGCGACACGUGUCCGGUGCCAACGUUGCGACCACGGUGACGACGAUUUCGAGCAGGUCGGACGCUGACCCUAAGCCGAUAACCCCGGCGGCCACUCAGAGAAGUGUGAACUCAACACGGACGAUGGUUGCGGAGUCGGAGCGCCAUGUUUAAAUGCAGUUUCUCGUAGCAAUACACAAGAACAGCUAGCGCGGGACGCACGAUUGUCGAAGCUGCGCGCAUCAUACAAUUACGAGCACAGUGGGUAAGGCUCUUUGAUUGCUAAGUUCGUCGAGUGCCCGGGCCGUUACACUUCUUGGCUUUUCAAGCCCAUACUUAGGCAAGGUGCACAUAGCCGACGAUCUAAUUAUACCGUCAACGUAUAUCGCGAAAAUAAAACGUUCUUUCUGCAACACGCGGGUAUUUGGCGCAGCGAG